AAGUCGUAACAAGGUUUCCGUAGGUGAACCUGCGGAAGGAUCAUUAAAACAAAUAAAUUCACUGAGUGAACAUGCAACAAUUAUAGUAUUUUUAUAGAUAUACUAAUUGUUGCAUGUUCAUAAGGUGCAUUAAAUUUCAAGGUUAUAAUAACAUUUAACGAUUAGUUAUGUAUGUUAUAACCUAAAAUUUAAUGCUAAUGAUAGAUACUAAUCUAUCAUGCAACAACUGUGAUGAAAAUUAUUUUGUAGAUAAAACAGUUCAUUCAAGUUUCAAAAAAACUCUAUAAUGACUGUUAUUAAUCAACUAAUUUUCAUUCAGAUACACGAUUAAAAAUUGACAAGUAGACAACCAAAAAAAAGGAAAACACUUUUAACAAUGGAUCUCUUGGCUCUU
rnacentral:misc_RNA from 1 species